rnacentral:tRNA from 1 species
CAAGGAAUAGUUUAAAUGCAAGAAUACUAGCUUUGGGAGUUGGYGGUAGAAGUUGAAAUCUUCUUUCUUUGA